UGAGUAAUACAUCGGAACAUGCCCAGUCGUGGGGGAUAACACUUCGAAAGAAGUGCUAAUACCGCAUACGUCCUGAGGGAGAAAGCGGGGGAUCGCAAGACCUCGCGCGAUUGGAGUGGCCGAUGUCAGAUUAGCUAGUUGGUGGGGUAAAGGCCUACCAAGGCAACGAUCUGUAGCUGGUCUGAGAGGAUGAUCAGCCACACUGGGACUGAGACACGGCCCAGACUCCUACGGGAGGCAGCAGUGGGGAAUUUUGGACAAUGGGGGCAACCCUGAUCCAGCCAUUCCGCGUGAGUGAAGAAGGCCUUCGGGUUGUAAAGCUCUUUCGGCAGGAACGAAACGGCGAGCUCUAACAUAGCUCGCUAAUGACGGUA
rnacentral:rRNA from 1 species